CAGAGCAAGACUCUGUCUCAAAAAAUAGAAUAGAAUAGAAUAGAAUAAAAUAAAAUGAAAUAAGAUAAAAUUUCAUUGAGAGGUCUGAUGAAACUUCUUCCAGGUGUGUUGAGCCUUUAGUGCCCUCUGUUCUGAACUGUACUCCAUUCUAAUGUCUGAUUUAGCUUUCAUAAUCCAUUCUGCUUGUUUGAAGUCUAGUUCUCCCUUCCCACUAUCUGUACUCCACAUUUCUAGACUUUAUCCAUUGUUCACUUCUUUCUGGACUGGAUCCCUCUGAGCCUCCGUGCCUGCCUGAAUUGACCUGAAGUUGCCCACCUUGCUCCCAUACUUGAUCCAUGACUUGUCUGUCACUUAGGGGCAGCCAUUCCUUUCGUCUUUUUAAUGUUUUUCUUUACCUAUGGUGUAUAUUUUCAGGUCUAUUUCCCUUGUCUUAGCUUUUAUCAUGUUUUAUUCUAAAACCAAGAUUGACACAGGCUUAAUAGGCUUAUCUUCAUAGGUAAACAAAAAACUCUUCGAGAGCCAUACAUUGGCCAUAUUUCGCAGUAAUUAGGAUACCUCCAAAUUCUCUACAUUAAAGCAUUUCAGAAUAGUUUAUUCUUUUGUUGAAUCCUUUAUACUGAGUAAAAAAGGAGCUUGAACUUUCCUUAUGUGUGGGAUAUUAUUUAUCUUUAAAUUCAAAUGCUAGUUUUAUCUACCAUACAAAAAGGGUGUUAUCCAUAGUUUGCUUAUUAAUGAGGGUAUGCAGCAUAAUUUGGAAGGUCUUAAUAUAUGGAGAAACAGGUCAUGCACAUAUUUUCCUGAUACCACCAGUAGGUGUUCAAAAUUGUGGACCAGCUGAGCCAAAAUGAACCCCAGCAGGUUUCCUAAUCAUUGCUUAGAAUACAUUAAAAAGACCUCAGUGGGUUAUGAAAUACAGGCAGCUGCUUGCCCUACUAUGUAUGGAUUCAUUUUGGAUAAGGGCAAGAGUGUAUUUAAGUGUAUAAUAAGGAGUUUUCAUUCUUUGCAGACUUCAAGCAGCUUGGCAUUUGUUUUCCUAAUGCAAAGCAUUAGUGUAAACAGUAUAACAAUUGAUAUUUUAUACAUCUGUUGGUCUAUUCAGUUAGCUUAUGUAUUUCAGUGCUAGACUUAUAAAACAACCACAAGCACAAAACCUCAGUAUUUUUAUAAUCCCACGUUAAGUGAAUGAUUAACCAACACAGGGAGGAAGCUAGUGUGAGGCAGCAUUCUGCCCUGGAGCACCCACCAUGCUGAUACAUUUAGGAUGAAGAGAGUCUAGGGAAGUCAUGCUUCUGUCCUGGGAAUGUUAUGAAAUCCAAGCAAGAAAGAAUUACUAUUGAGGCAAUUUUAAAUAAGCUAGCAGAGAAAAACUGCAAUCCCUUGGCAAUGAAUGGUUCCGACUAAGGAGAACUCAUCCAUAACAAGUUGGUAUAGUUCUUUAAAGAAUUUCUUCCCACUGCUGCUGUAGGAGCUAGAAACAAAUAUCUAGACCAUUUUGUUUGUUUUUGCUAGCUCUGUGGACUGAUAUCCCUUUUCGAGCUAAAUACUCAAAACUAAAUACUAAAGGAAAGAAUACUACUAAGGAAAUACUAAAGUGGGUGACUUUGGUAGAAGUCUUCGGUGAAAAUGUGGGAUAGAGAAGGCUUUAAACAUGACCUUUUAUAAGUGUGGUAUUCACAAAUUCAAAAUGAAAUUCAUGGAUACUGGAUUUUGUCUAAAAUCUUCAGCAAUCUUGAACCUAAAAUUCCUUAUCAAUGUAUUUAUUACACUCACGUGGUGGAUCAUAAGCAUACAUAUCAUAAGGGGUGCUUGUGUGUAAAAAGAGAGUUCUCUAUUUUAAUCUUUCAGGUGUCAAGGAAAGGAAACAUGGUGAGGUUACCCCAUUCUGGGGAGUUUAUUACAACUAUACCUGGAAAAACAAAAAGGAACACUGACAAUUCCCGUGGUAUGUCUGAGCCUAGAUCUACUGUCCAGAGUCAUGCACCCUUCUUGCCCAGCUCUGCAAGUGGUGAUCUGAAGUCUGAGCUGUUUUUCUACAACGAGGCACACAUCCUGUCUAUUCCUGUAGUCUCUGAGCUAGUUCUGCUUCUGUUUUACAAUUUGACCACUUUAAAUGGGCCAGAUUGCUCUUGGAAAAUUUAAAAGAGCUAAAUAAAAAUGUACAUGUAUAAAACAGAGUUAUUUCAAGUUUCUCACACAUGCAUUCAAUUUUUAUUAAACACAUACACAUACAUGUAUUUUUAGCAAAUAUAAGGGUGGUAGUAAUAUCAAAGUAGAACUAGGAAUAGCAUUACUGUAGGCAAAUUAUUGAACUAGGAAUUCUGUGUUUGAAGGCUUGAUGAUUUCAUUGAGUUCUGUGUCCUAGAAGCAUCUUCAUCUGCUCCAAGCCAAGUACUCUGUCUUCAUACUUGGGCAUGAAUACAAUUCAAGAUAGUCAUCAACAAAAUGAUAGUGGUGCCUUGUCAUGUGAUAGAAACUAUAUUGCAAUUUUUUGAUUCCUGACAUAGUAUGAAUAGUAAUAUAAACCACAAACUCUGGAAAAA